rfam:Calothrix sp. PCC 6303, complete genome.
UGGUAGAUGCACCCUGAUAACUCAUUUCCCUUAGCUAAUUGAUUUUGGCUGGGGGAUUUUUUU